UCGGUUUUAUAUUUCGUGCGGUGAAAUCUCAUAUGAUACUCGACAGGCUAUGUUUAGAGAGUUUAACAUAUGCAUCUUAUUAUACAUUUCAUAACUUAAAUUUACUUUUAUAUAAAUUAUCUGACAUUAACUAUUUGAUUUGCAGAUGUUGUGUACAUGGGAUCCAAUAGACAACGAUAGGGUUGCUGCGAACUUUGAGAGGAAGGGGAGUGCAAGGUUGUCUGAUUGGUUUUUAAGGGUUAGAAAGUAUACGAGGAAGCCCUAAUCGUAGGACAAUGAAAAAGGCUACGGGACAUAUGCCGACUCAAGAUCAUCUAUUCCUAAAGACCCACACAAAAAAAAAGAAGCAGGAGUCGGAUUCGAUCGAAUGGGUUGAGAACAGGGCUUAUGAUUCCUAUAUGCAAUUUAUGUAAGAUGUGGACCACUAUAGCCAAACUCAGCCUGACCACCCCAGUCGUCCUCCACCGGAAUUAGAGGUAGAAUUUUGGUAUAGAGUAGUUGGGGGAGUACAAAAGGGUAGAACGUACAGUCUAGGCCCAAGAAACAACUUAAGUCACUUUCGGCCAGGAUUGCGAGGUGAAGGGUCUUCUUGACAAGCCAAGAGAGUUGAUAGUGUUCAGGUCGCAACUAUGGCGCAGAAAAUCGAAGAACUUAAUAAAAAAUUAGCUGAGACUGAGGCAAAAAGGGUUGAGGAAAGUAAAUUGAUGAAAGAGAACCUUGAAUCGCUCAAGGCACAAGUUAA